AGUUAAUAAAUCAAAAUUGUGCUGGGUAGCGACAGCACUUUUGCGAUUUGUUAAUGUUCAGAGUAGUAAUGAAGUUCUCCCAAACCAUACUACUUGAAGUACACUUUUUUAAAAGUGUACUUU
rnacentral:sRNA from 18 species